GGGUAUAUAGCUCAAGUGAUAGAGCACAUGCUUGGCAUGCAUGAGGUCCUGGGUUCAAUACCCAGUACCUCCU
rnacentral:tRNA from 1 species